UGUCCGUCUCUUCACAGGAACUUCAUAAAGUUUGUUAGUAGAACUCCCUGGACAACUGGAAGGAAAGAUAAAAUAGAUAUUGAAACACACAGAGAAAAUAAAAAUAUGCAGAGAGAAUAAAAACAUGUCUGUAGCAUGGCCAUGGACUGCAUUUUAUCUUGUACAGCUCAGAUGGGACAUCUUUCCACUGGAGAACAGAGAAUUCAUAUAGUCAGCGCCUGUAAGUGAUCUUCUCUCUUCUAUUCAAGAGAUAAGCUUCUGCCAACAGAGAGAGAAAAUCAUUACUGAACACAUUCUGGAGAUAGAUAAGAAAUACCUAUUUUGCUAACUUCACAGCUGAGGAAACUGAAGGAGAGUGAUUAAAUGUUGCAUUUUCUGUAGCAGAGGCAGAUGAAGUUUCUUCCUACACAUGGCUUUGAAGAACGAACUCAGUUUCAUGUUGUACAUCUACCAAAAG